rnacentral:rRNA from 1 species
CCUACGGGUGGCAGCAGUGGGGAAUAUUGGGCAAUGGAGGCAACUCUGACCCAGCAACGCCGCGUGAAUGAUGAAGGUCUUCGGAUUGUAAAGUUCUGUGAUGGGGGAUGAACACAAUGACGGUACCCCAAUAGCAAGCCACGGCUAACUACGUGCCAGCAGCCGCGGUAAUACGUAGGUGGCAAGCGUUAUCCGGAAUGACUGGGCGUAAAGGGUGCGUAGACGGUGCGCCAAGUCUGGUGUGAAAGGCCGCGGCUUAACUGCGGAACUGCUUUGGAAACUGGCGAACUAGAGUGCGGGAGAGGUGAGCGGAAUUCCAGGUGUAGCGGUGAAAUGCGUAGAUAUUAGGAGGAACACCGGUGGCGAAGGCGGCUUACUGGACCGUAACUGACGUUGAGGCUCGAAAGCGUGGGGAGCAAACAGGAUUAGAUACCCGGGUAGUC